GCCAGGCACAGUGGCACAUGCCUGUAAUCCCAGCAGCUCUGGAGGCUGAGGCAGGAGGAUCCAGUGUUCAAAGCAACCUCAGCAACUUAGCAAGGCCCUAAGCAACUCAGUGAGACCCUGUCUCUA
rnacentral:sRNA from 1 species